rnacentral:tRNA from 1 species
GGAGAGUUGACAGAGUGGUAAUGUGCAGGCCUGCUAAGCUUUGGCUAUCCUUUUUUGGAUACGAAGGUUCGAUCCCUUCACUCUCCG